rnacentral:rRNA from 1 species
UACGUAGGGUGCAAGCGUUGUCCGGAAUUAUUGGGCGUAAAGAGCUCGUAGGCGGUCUGUCGCGUCUGCUGUGAAAACCCGCGGCUUAACUGCGGGCUUGCGGUUGAUACGGGCGGGCUGGAGUUCGGUAGGGGAGACUGGAAUUCCUGGUGUAGCGGUGAAAUGCGCAGAUAUCAGGAGGAACACCGGUGGCGAAGGCGGGUCUCUGGGCCGAUACUGACGCUGAGGAGCGAAAGCGUGGGGAGCGAACAGG